CCCUACGGGGCGCAGCAGGCGCGAAAACUUCACAAUGUGGGAAACCACGAUGCGGGAAACCCAAGUGCCAGCACUAAGUGUUGGCUGUCUUUCAGUGUUAAAAACUGGGGAAGAAAGGGCUGGGUAAGACGGGUGCCAGCCGCCGCGGUAAUACCCGCAGCCCAAGUGGUGGUCAUUAUUAUUGGGCCUAAAGCGUCCGUAGCUGGCCUGUUAGAUGCCAGGGUAAAUCGAACGGCUCUAACGCAUCGAAUCCGGGUAGACC
rnacentral:rRNA from 1 species